ensembl:lncRNA
CAGACAUAUACGUGGUUUUUACCUCAGUUUUCCACAGCUGAUGCAAUCUCAUCUAUUGCAGUCUUCUGAAUUGAUUCUAGAUCAAUGACUGAUGAUCUGUACUCUCCUCAGCUGAUCCUCAUAGAAGUUUAGUUUUUGAUUUAGGUAAUUCAUGAAGGUCAUAUUUUUCAGCAUGUGUUAGUCUGUUAUUUCUCCAAAAGUAUUUUUAAAGUUUUGUCAAAGAGAAUUGAGCAUAUUUGAAGAUAUUUUUUGAAGAUAUUUUUAAAUCCUUUUUCCAGCUGUACAUUUUGAGAGAUAUCUUUUUAGAUGAACAAAUAGAGGUAUAAAUCCGAUGGUAACCUAGGAUCUCAGCUAAAUUGGAAGAGAGCUGAGCUGCCAGGUGUUGGAGUAGCUGAUUCAAGCAACAAGCCAAGAAGAAAAGGGAUAAGUCUUUAAUCUCUCAUUACGAUGAUGUAAGAGGCUGCAACUUGGGAAAAUAUGGAUCCCCUGUCCUUUUCCCUGUGGAGUUUUGCACCUGUCUAGAGUCAGAAGAAUUGAUGCAGAUAAUUACCUUGAUUCCUAGAGAAGAUCAGAAAGAAUGCUUAUAUUUCAAAAGGCAUAGAGAAAAACAAUGCAAGUUCUACCAAGAAGGGCUUUUGUUCCCCAAAUGCAGAUCUUUUACAAUAUCUGCAAGCCUUUUGAGAUCAAUAAAAAAAGUUUCGAGUUUGGUAAAAAGGAGAGAUGAGCUUUGGAUUAUUUCUAGAGUCCCAUUUCUGUUCUUGUAAAAACUUGAUUUGUAAGACAAUUACAGUAAUUUCUAAUUCCUCAAAGAAUUGGAUUCAACCUGAAUGAUGUCAAGAGGAUGACACACCUAUCCAACUGCAUAAUACUUGCUUUGCUUUUUUAUAUUAGGGAGAAGAUCUUUAAAAUGGAAUUCAAAUAAUUCCUAUAUUCUAGAUUUCAAACUGUUUACUUUUGGGAUGUUUUAGUAAAUCUUCUACAAAGGUUUCAUGAAUGUUUUUUUUCCCCUCUAUGAACACAGUUACAUUUUAACUUAGGAUACAAGAACUGGAAAAAAAAAAAGUUCCUAUAAGCCUCUGAAUGUCAGGCUUCACAGUAUACCCAGUCCAGCUUCUAAGUCAGACCCAGUUUGCCUCUAGCUGGUUUCCAGACCCAGUCCUGUUUCAAAGUCAGACACAGUGUGACCCUGGACUUAAUUCGAUUUCUAAGUCAGAUCCAGUCUGACUCUGCCCAGUUUCUGGACCCAGUACAGAAAAGGAAAUGUUUGAAUAAGUCUAAAUGUUUAUAGUGCAAAAAACUGCAGCGCUAGGAUCUGAGAGGAGUAACUUACCCACUACCUCCAGGGGCUAUGAGAGCACAGUAACCUCAGGAGGUUGGGGUGAUGUUCAUCGCAUAUCUUCACCUGCUCAUUGCUUCCGGGUCAUCAGGGUCUCCAGUUCUUGCUUCUAAUACCAGAACUUUUAAAAGAUUAAUUGAGGCAUAUUUAAAAUUUUAAGAGUUUAUUUAGGCAAAAAUCAAUUUGAAUCAGGCAACAUGCCACCUAGCAGAAAGAAAAAAGCUCCAGGGAACUGUACAAAAAGAAAGAUUUUUAUAGGCAGAAGGGAGAGGGAACAGGAAGUUAAGCUAGGCUACCAUUCCUCUAUGAAAAAAAAAAAAAAAAAGUUAUGCUAGGCAAAAAAGUGGAUUGAUUAUUGCAAGGUUACUUUUCUUUAGGAGAUGGAAGGAGUGUACUAGGCAGGUUACCUCCCCAGUGCUGAUCAGGAGAUUCUUCUUUGACCAGUUUAAGAUUUAUUCCUGAGAUAAUCAAAAUUCUAUUUAAAUCUUGGUUUGGUGACAUGGGGCUAAACAUAAAUGACUCUAUUUUUGACUAGUCUUGUUUUUAAUACUAUUAGCAUUAAUAAAUAAUGAUAAAUUCAGAUAAAAUGCUAAUUG